rnacentral:rRNA from 1 species
GACGAACGCUGGCGGCGUGCUUAACACAUGCAAGUCGAACGGAAAGGCCCUGCUUUUGUGGGGUGCUCGAGUGGCGAACGGGUGAGUAACACGUGAGUAACCUGCCCUUGACUUUGGGAUAACUUCAGGAAACUGGGGCUAAUACCGGAUAGGAGCUCCUGCUGCACGGUGGGGGUUGGAAAGUUUCGGCGGUUGGGGAUGGACUCGCGGCUUAUCAGCUUGUUGGUGGGGUAGUGGCUUACCAAGGCUUUGACGGGUAGCCGGCCUGAGAGGGUGACCGGCCACAUUGGGACUGAGAUACGGCCCAGACUCCUACGGGAGGCAGCAGUGGGGAAUAUUGCACAAUGGGCGGAAGCCUGAUGCAGCAACGCCGCGUGCGGGAUGACGGCCUUCGGGUUGUAAACCGCUUUCGCCUGUGACGAAGCGUGAGUGACGGUAAUGGGUAAAGAAGCACCGGCUAACUACGUGCCAGCAGCCGCGGUGAUACGUAGGGUGCGAGCGUUGUCCGGAUUUAUUGGGCGUAAAGGGCUCGUAGGUGGUUGAUCGCGUCGGAAGUGUAAUCUUGGGGCUUAACCCUGAGCGUGCUUUCGAUACGGGUUGACUUGAGGAAGGUAGGGGAGAAUGGAAUUCCUGGUGGAGCGGUGGAAUGCGCAGAUAUCAGGAGGAACACCAGUGGCGAAGGCGGUUCUCUGGGCCUUUCCUGACGCUGAGGAGCGAAAGCGUGGGGAGCGAACAGGCUUAGAUACCCUGGUAGUCCACGCUGUAAACGGUGGGUACUAGGUGUGGGGUCCAUUCCACGGGUUCCGUGCCGUAGCUAACGCUUUAAGUACCCCGCCUGGGGAGUACGGCCGCAAGGCUAAAACUCAAAGGAAUUGACGGGGCCCCGCACAAGCGGCGGAGCAUGCGGAUUAAUUCGAUGCAACGCGUAGAACCUUACCUGGGUUUGACAUGGAUCGGGAGUGCUCAGAGAUGGGUGUGCCUCUUUUGGGGUCGGUUCACAGGUGGUGCAUGCCUGUCGUCAGCUCGUGUCGUGAGAUGUUGGGUUAAGUCCCGCAACGAGCGCAACCCUUGUUCACUGUUGCCAGCACGUUAUGGUGGGGACUCAGUGGAGACCGCCGGGGUCAACUCGGAGGAAGGUGGGGAUGACGUCAAGUCCUCAUGCCCCUUAUGUCCAGGGCUUCACGCAUGCUACAAUGGCUGGUACAGAGAGUGGCGAGCCUGUGAGGGUGAGCGAAUCUCGGAAAGCCGGUCUCAGUUCGGAUUGGGGUCUGCAACUCGACCUCAUGAAGUCGGAGUCGCUAGUAAUCGCAGAUCAGCAACGCUGCGGUGAAUACGUUCCCGGG